rnacentral:lncRNA from 1 species
CAGCUAAGUAAUCUCCUUCCCUCCCCAGGCGUGAGCCCCCUCUGCCUCGCUCCACAUGGAGCCAUUUACACCUGCACUAAGCAGGGAUAAAGUGAAGCCAAUCUGAAUUCUGCACUGCCUUGCGCUCAAGGUUGCCUUUUACAUCUGUUUGGCAUUUGCAGAGCCCGACUGCAACCUUAGCUCAGCUGGUGGAGCCCUGGCAUUACAGCGGGGUGGUCAGGUCCCACAUUUGAGGUUUGGGGCUGGGGGAAUGGGAGUGGUUUUGGUGUGGGAAGAGGAAAAGAAAAUCAGCUCCUUGUGCCUGAGUGAGUGCAAAGCUGGGAGCUGCUGCUGCAGCCCUGCUGAGAUGGAAAGGAGCUCAUCUCAUUUACGGUGGUGGAAGAUGGAGCAGAUAACCACGACGAAUAAACCGGCUCCUCUCUUCCUUGCCUGCCUAGAGGAAGCUGCUGGGUAUCUCUGUCACCUCUAUACAAGUGCAGAAAUGGAGGCAGAAGAGCAUGGAAGGUCUGUGACAACAUCUGACGUGGUUUCUGAGCACCCUGCUUCUCACCUCGGAGCCUCAGCCGCAGGACACUCUGUUUUCUUGCAGCCAAGGAGAAGUUGGAGGUAGAGAAAAUGAAGAAACUGUUGGUAGCUGCCAUUUCUCAUGAAAAAAUGGAGUGGUAUUGUCUAUUUUUAUAAUAGGUUUUUCAGAAAGUCUGCCAGGAUUGAUUUUAAAACUGUAGAAUUAGAGAAUCUCUGACAUCGCCAGGUCAGUUGCUCCAAAGGUUAAUAAUUUCUAUUAAAAACAACCCUUUGCUUCUCACACAGUGUUUGGGGAUGGGGAAUGAAGGCAUGGGUCUGCUCUCCUCUCUGCUUUUUACUUUGCUGGCUGCCAAAACCAGAAUUUCUUCCAGAAUCUCCACAUACUGAUGGUGCAAGUGGACAAUUCAACACUGCUCCCACAUGCCCAGAUGUGAUGGGGGCUGACCUCCCCACCUAAAUAAAUCUAAAUAAAUCUCCUCUGCCCUGCUAGGA